rnacentral:pre_miRNA from 1 species
AUGUUUCGUUUGGGAGAAAAGAUAGAAUGUGGAAUUCGAUAGACAUGAUCCGUAGUUUACUGGAUCGUCCACUAAGCCACGUUCUAUAUUUUCUCCCCACCCCAAAACCUG